GAUAUAGUCUGAGAAUAAAGAAAAUAUUGGUCCAUUACUUUUUUUUGUGCACAGCCCAUUAUUAUUCUUCUUCUUCUAAUUAGCGCUAGCCGACAUUUAGUUUUAGGGUUCGUCGACUCCUGUUCAAACUGAUUACGGCUACCAACAAUGGAGUUUCUGAAAAAUUGUGUGAGAUGAACCUUCUUGAGUAAUCUUUGCAUUUAUCUUGGUUCAUGGCGUUUCGUUUGUGACUCUUCUCCUUAAAGGCAUUACAAGUUGUAUUGAUGCGACCCCAUUUAAGAGAUCUUAACUCUUUCCAUCCACUGCAAGCACGAUCACUCAUUCAAUGAUUCUUCUCUCUAUUCCAGGUGGUGCGGUGGAUUUCCACAUAUAAAAAGGAAACUGCAAACACGUUUGCCCAUGAUUCAACCUGGAAAAACAAACCAGGUUUAAAAAUCAGGAAGAUAUUCAGGCACAAGAUUUUCAAUCACUGGAAUGAUCUAACGAGUCUCUGAUUUUUGUUAGGGAUCAAACCUUAUCAGUCUUUCGUCCUGCUUGAAGUUUAUAAGGAACAUAUCAAUCUCACUUCUGGAUUCAGACUUCCUACUUCCUUCAUUCAAGGUAACUACGCCACCUCUGAUGACCUCCCCCUCAGAUGUUCAUCCCAAAAUGUCGUCGAGUGUUCAUUUCUAGGAUGCUCACUUCCAGAUUGGAAAGCUUUAUAUUUGUGCCUCAAGUCAUGGGAUGAACCUUAGAAGCUGUGGUAUGUUCUCAAAUUGAAAAACAUGGUGAUGACUCAGGGAAAUAUGCUUCAAGCCGAACUGAUGUUUCCAAACCCUGAACGCAUUUGAAAGGUGAAGAAGAGUUCUGUAUGCUGACAGAGAGAGCGAUUGAGGAACCCAAUCUCAGAAGAUCAGCCGAGAUGAAGGAUAUGCUCUAUGACCCAUUGUGCUUAGUUUUUCAACCGAGCAGCAAACUUGAGUUAAUUCAUAUUUGGGAUUAAGAAGUAUAAAAUAGCAUUCAAGAUAUUGAAGAAGACAAUGUCUUUCUUUUAGGACUGGUCUAAUAGUUAGAAUUUGUGUCUGGCAAUUUAACUGUUUGUUCGGUAGUAUACGCAGGUUUCUAUAAAACCAUGGUUGGUGUGUAUGCUGAGUAUUCAUAUCCUUAUAUCUUCCUUAUGAUGAGGAAGGUAAGGUAUGGUAUUAACUUAUUUAUAUCUACGAAUCCGAUGUUGUGGUGAUGCAUAUUAAGCUUUUCGUUUUUAGAUUA